rnacentral:lncRNA from 1 species
CCGCAUAAAAAAAAUACAAAUUUUUCAAACCUAACCCGACUCAAACCCGUGGUGGGCCGGGUUGGCCCGCGGGUUGUGACCCAUUUUGACAGCUCUGGUCCACCUACAACACUGAUCCAUUAUUCCUUGUACUAGAGCUUUAAGAUUGGUUGCUUCUCGAAGUGGACAUCCCCCUUGACUAGAACACAAACCUAACAUUGAUGAGGACGUGUCAUCUAGUUACCCCUUGGCUUCCCUACCCAAAAGCUCCUUAGAUGAUGAAAUGCUUAUCAUUUUGGUCAUCAUUACCUUAUUGCAAACCCGUGGUGAGAAGACGCUCUAAAAAAGAAUGCAAAGUGUCAAAUGAAGAAAAUCCUACUCCUAUUUAUAUGGGAGACUAUGGUCAAAUCAAGUCAAUAGUUGCCAAACCCCG